UGUCAUUUAUUAUCCAGACCUGACCAGUUGUGGUAACCCUUCCUCACUUCUCCCUUCCAGGUUUGCCCAUGUGUUCCUGGAGCCUGGCACGUUUGUUUUCAGGGACAGCUGCGCUCAGGAACGCUUCCUGAUUGUGACAGUGAAGGAGGCCAGCGUGAGCUGUGACCCCAGGGACGCCUCCUUCCAGCCCUCCUCCCUGUUCCAGCUGGCCAGACACGGCAUUUUGAAGCAGCAGCAACAUCUGAACCUGGCUCCCAACUGGGCUGCUAUCACAGCAAUCCUUUUCAUCCUGGGCUUCCUCGUGCUGGUGCUGACCACCCUGGCCAUCGUGUUCCAGCCUGCUGGCCCCAAAAUCAGCCCCCUGAAGGGCUGGAAGCCACGCUGGAGGAGCCUGGGGGAGCCACACAUCCCACCAGAGUACAUCCUCCUUAAGGACAGAGUUCUAUGAGAUGCUUGGUCCUCGUGGAUCUGGAGAAGAUGCUGGCUCUGGAG
rnacentral:lncRNA from 1 species